GACGAACGCUGGCGGCGUGCCUAAUACAUGCAAGUCGAACGCAGGGGGGACGGGUGAUUAACACGUGGGUAACCUCCCAUCAGAGGGGAUAACACUUGGAAACAGGUGCUAAAACUGAUACUGAUGGAUGGACCCGCGGUGGAUUAGCUAGUUGGUGGGGUAACGGCGCACCAAGGCCACGAUGCAUAGCGGACCUGAGAGGGUGAUCAGCCACACUGGGACUGAGACACGGCCCAGACUCCUACGGGAGGCAGCAGUAGGGAAUCUUCGGCAAUGGACGAAAGCCUGACCGAGCAACGCCGCGUGAGUGAAGAAGGUUUUCGGGUCGUAAAGCUCUGUUGUUGGGGAGGCGUUAUCCAACGAGAAAGCCACGGCUAACUCCGUGCCAGCCGCCGCGGUAAUUC
rnacentral:rRNA from 1 species